GUGAGAGACUGGAAUCUGAUCCCUGGGUCAGGAAGAUCCCCUGGAGGAGAACACGGCAGCCCACUCCAGCAUUCUUGCCUGGAGAAGCCCAUGGACAGGGGAGCCCGGUGGGCUACAGUCCAUGGGGAUGCAAAGAGUCGGACACGACUGAGCGUCUGAGCACACAGCACACAAAAGUAUCAAAGAGCUUACAACAGAGAGGGGGAUUCAGGCUUCAGAUCUGGAAUAUGAGCCUGAGAUGUGGCCCUAGGUCUUAGAAGCCACUCUUACCGAGUUGGGGAGAAUCUGUGAAGCAGGAAGAGAGAACUGGAAAGCUGAGCAUCACCUUCACAGCCUCACAGGGUCAGGGACCCAGAGCAUCCGCAAGGUUAAAGCCUGACAAGCCUGUGGUUGGGCGUGACUAAGCCCUACAAGUAUGAGCCAAUGAAAAAGGGGAAAAUGCUACCAACUGUAAACAUACAUGUCGAUCAACUGUAAAUUACAUCUGAAUUUCAGAGAUUAAAAUGUGAAAAAAAAUGCACUUAAUUGAUGAAAUAUGGUAUUUAUACAAAUAUUUUUUUUCAAAACCACAUCUAACACACAUUCAAAGAUAACAAGGCACACGAGGAGAUACAAUGACAUAAAUACAAACCAACAUGAGAAUUAGGACAAACACCAAACAGAAGAAACAGACAUAUCCCAGAUGGAAAAAUUACCAGACACAGAAUGUAAGACAAUGAUACAGUACAUAACUGUGCUCAUGGUGAUAGAAAUUGGGCUUAAAAUUUUCAGAACAAGGAACCAGGACUAUAUAAAGUAACAUUAAAGAUCUGAAAAAGAGCUAAAAAUUCUAGAACUGAAAUUCAGUAACUGAAAUUAAGAAUGCAACAGAUGGAUUUAACUGCAGAUUAGACCCAGCUGAAGAGACACCGUGAGACUUAGAAGAUAGGUCAGAAGAACUACCAGAUGUAGCUAGGAGAUAUAAAAAGGAUGGAGAAGCAGAAGAGCGGCUAAGAGACAUAAAAGUUAAGAAAACGUUUAAGGUAACAAAAUUACCUUACAACACAAAGUUCUCCC
ensembl:lncRNA